CCUUGUGGCAUAAAUGCUGAUGGUCAGACUCGGGCAACGUGUUGCAGCUCUGAGUAUUCAUCAUUCUAGAAACAUCUCUGGUACAUCAGAGUGCCAGGUCUGCAGCUUUGCGCUUAUUUCCAGAGACCAUCUAUACAUGGCAGGACAGGUAACCCCUGAGCUGGCUGAUGGAGGAGAAUAAGAAAUCCUUUCUAAGCAGAAAAAAUCAUCCUGUGUUUCCUUUUCCACACUACUUCAAGGGAAUGUGCAUAUUGAACCGACUAUACGGAAGUCUCGGGACAGGGAGAAGAUCAGCCAGCUCUUGAUGCACAUCCCCUUUCCUGAAGUGCUUUUCUGCAACAUACCUGAGUACCCAUGCAAAGGACAUCUG